rnacentral:rRNA from 1 species
UACAGAGGGUGCAAACGUUGCUCGGAAUCAUUGGGCGUAAAGCGCGCGUAGGCGGUCUUGUAAGUCAGGAGUGAAAGCCCUCGGCUUAACCGGGGAAGUGCUUUUGAAACUGCAAGACUUGAAUACUGGAGAGGAUCGCGGAAUUCCCGGUGUAGAGGUGAAAUGCGUAGAUACUGGGAGGAACACCAGUGGCGAAGGCGGCUACCUGGACCGGUUCUGACACUGAGGCGCGAAAGCGUGGGUAGCAAACAGG